GCAGUCGAGCGGAGAUUUGAAAAGCUUGCUUUUCAAUCUUAGCGGCGGACGGGUGAGUAACACGUGGGCAACCUGCCCUUGAGACGGGGAUAACUCCGGGAAACCGGAGCUAAUACCGGAUAACACAUAUCUUCGCAUGAGGAUAUGUUAGAAGGUGGCUUUUAGCUACCACUCAAGGAUGGGCCCGCGGCGCAUUAGCUAGUUGGUGAGGUAACGGCUCACCAAGGCGACGAUGCGUAGCCGACCUGAGAGGGUGAUCGGCCACACUGGGACUGAGACACGGCCCAGACUCCUACGGGAGGCAGCAGUAGGGAAUCUUCCGCAAUGGACGAAAGUCUGACGGAGCAACGCCGCGUGAGUGAUGAAGGUUUUCGGAUCGUAAAGCUCUGUUGUUAGGGAAGAACAAGUACCUGUUAAAUAAGCAGGUACCUUGACGGUACCUAACCAGAAAGCCACGGCUAACUACGUGCCAGCAGCCGCGGUAAUACGUAGGUGGCAAGCGUUGUCCGGAAUUAUUGGGCGUAAAGCGCGCGCAGGCGGUUCCUUAAGUCUGAUGUGAAAGCCCACGGCUCAACCGUGGAGGGUCAUUGGAAACUGGGGAACUUGAGUGCAGAAGAGGAGAGCGGAAUUCCACGUGUAGCGGUGAAAUGCGUAGAGAUGUGGAGGAACACCAGUGGCGAAGGCGGCUCUCUGGUCUGUAACUGACGCUGAGGCGCGAAAGCGUGGGGAGCGAACAGGAUUAGAUACCCUGGUAGUCCACGCCGUAAACGAUGAGUGCUAAGUGGUUAAAAGGGUUUCCGCCCCUUUAGUGCUGCAGCAAACGCAUUAAGCACUCCGCCCGGGGGGAGUACGGUCGCAAGACUGAAACUCAAAGGGAAUUGACGGGGACCCGCACAAGCGGUGGAGCCAUGGUGGUUUAAUUCGAAGCAACGCGAAGAACCUUACCAGGUCUUGACAUCCUCUGCUACUUCUA
rnacentral:rRNA from 2 species